CUAAGAACUAACAUGGUUACUAAGUGACAAAUGGGCAGGGGCAUAUACAACAAGGACACAGCUGGACAAAGGGAUGAUUCAUGUCUUGGGCAGGACAGAAAGGAGUCACCUCGAAAAGCACUAUUCCUAAUAGUGCCACGUGUUUGGGACCAAGCUUUGAACAUAUGGGUUUUUGGGAGACUCUAAACAAUGCCACAUGGAUAACUGAAACCACGGUGAAUGCUUCAAAUACUACAAGUUUGUGCAGAUUUUCUUCAUUUUAUAAAUACCCACCAUCAGGAUCGCUCAUAGACCGCAGGAGCCGCGUUUUGGUGGAGGGACCUGGUGGCGAAGGGGGUGGUGACGCAGUAAAGGAAG
rnacentral:lncRNA from 1 species